AAUACUAUUUUUUGUGAUAUAGCAGGUUAAUUACUAUUUUUUAAGGUUAUCAAAUUAAAUUUUCUUUUAGGUUUUGAUUCAUAAAAAGAAUUACAAUUUGACAAGUUCUUAUUUUUCUUCUACUCUACGUGUAGGCCAAGACGGAGCAAUGGACAGAAUCAGCAAAUUCCUCUGUUAAUAAAAUUGAAGAUGAUCUAAAGAGCUUGCGAAUCAGCUCAACAAAAAAGGGAACAGAAUUCUGGAUUCCUUCACCAGGUGAUUUUUUUUUGAAAAAAUAUAAAAUUGGUCGAUCAGGUCAAAACUAAUAGUGUUUGCUAGCCAAAAAGUGUAUAAUAUAUACAUAUAUGCACAAAAUAUAUUUUUGUUGGUUAAUUUUUUAGAAGCGGCUAAAAAUACACAUUUCGUAUUUUUAUUUUUAUCGAUAAUUUUAAAUAAAUAUAUUUGGUAAUAUUAAUUUUUUUUCUUCUUGUUGGUUGUCUUUUAGACCGGAGAGCAAAUGAUACACAUGGCUCAAGGAUGGGGUGAAGAACACACUAGGAAUUAGAUCAAACAAAAACAAAUGAAAGUCAAGAUUACUGUUAUAAAAUAGAAGUCUAUUUAGAGUGAAUGUCUAAGAGUUUUAGCUUGAAGCUAA
rnacentral:lncRNA from 1 species